rnacentral:lncRNA from 1 species
CUCUCCUGCUUCCUGCACCCUUGAGAUAACCUUGGACCCAGCCAUGCAAAGAUGAAUCUAACCCAACCAACUAAAGAGGAAAAGGCAAAAUCUGGGCUCUGAUAGACAUUGUUUCUAGAAGACGGACAGGACCUGGGUGCCAGUCCACACCAAUCCACAGUGGAAUACAGCUCCUCAUAAACCUCUCUGUUGGGAGAAACUCAAAGUCGUCACAAAGCAACCUCAACCAAGUCAGGCGAUGGAUCUCAGAGAAGGUUUAGGAACCACACUUGAGAUUCACUGGAGUUUCUUAACUCAAAGGAAGACAGGGAGCGGGGAAAUGGGUGCCUUCACCUGACUCAUAAGAACCAGUAAGCCAGAGCCCUACCUAAUACUGUGUGUGACAGGAGGAGCCCCAGCCACUGGGACAACCACAUCUGGAGGACACAACACAGGAGAGGUCCCAGCUGCUUCCUGAGGGAGACCUUACUGUUGACUGUCCGCACCCUUGUGCCAUGAUGCCAGACUGCUGUCUCAGUGAUGUUUCCAUUUCAGGCACAGCAAACAUGUGUAAAUACUUUAUUAAAAAAUUUUUAAAGCCCAACACAUGAAGUGAAA